UUCCCCAUGUUGGCCAGGCUGGUCUUGAACUCCUAACCUCAAGGGAUCCAUCCACCUCAGCCUCCCAAAGUGCUGGGAUUACAGGCGGGAGCCACCGCACUGGCCGCACCUGCUUUGGUAUUUGUUCUUCCUAGUGCUCUCACCUGAUGUGCUGUCUGUGUUAAUGGUUUGUUCAUGGAUCGCCUGUCUCUUUCCCCCUCUUUAGAAUGAUGGAUCCAUUAAGAGAGCAGCAGCUUUGUUUUGCUCAUUGCUCUUUGCCCAGAGCCUGGAACCACACCGGAUAUAUGAUAACCAGGCAGUAGUUAUUUGUGGAAUAAAUGAAUGUAAGAAUGAAUGAAAGGCCAGGUGCUGUGACUCAUGCCUGUAAUCCCAGCACUUUGGGAGGCCAAGGUAGGUGGAUUGCUUGAGGUCAGGAGUUUGAGACCUGCCUGGACAACAUGGUGAAACUCCAUCUCUACUAAAAAUACAAAAGUUAGCUAGGAAUGGUGGUGCACGCCUGUAAUUCCAGCUACUCGGGAGGCUGAGGCAGGAGAAUUGCCUGCACCCAGGAGGUAGAGGUUGCAGUGAGUCGAGAUUGUGCCACUGCACUCUAGCCCGGCAAAAAGGGAGAGACUGUCUUAGAAAUAAAAAUAAUUUAAAAAAAGAAUGAAAGACAAGAAGGCCUCGAUAGAAGGAAUAAGUUACAGUAAUCAAUAAUGUCCAAGGGAAAUUACAGUGAAUGAGGAUUUUUGUGUUCCCCUCCCCCCCAAAAAAGAUAAAUAUUUGAGGUGAUGACUGUGAGUUCCCCGGAUUUGAUCGUUACAUACUGUCUACAGCUGGGGUCCCCAAUCCUCCCGGCCAUGCAUCACUACCAGUCUGUAGCCUGUUUCUGUUCUUGUUUGAGACAGAGUCUCACUCUGUGCAAUGGUGCAAUCUCGGGUCAAUGUAACCUCCACCUCCAAGGUUCAAGUAAUUCUCUCCCUCAGCCCCCUGAGUAGCUGGGAUUACAGGCAUGUACCACCACACCUGGAUAAUUUUUGUAUUUGUAGUAGAGACACGGUUUCACCAUGCUGGCCAGGCUGGUCCUGAACUCCUUAUUUCAGGCGAUUCACCCUCCUCAUUCUCCCAAAGUGCUGGGAUUGCAAGUGUGAGCCAUCACACCCGGCCUUUUUUUUUUUUUUGACACAGAGUUUGCUCUUGUUGCCCAGGCUGGAAUGCAAUGGCGUGAUCUUGGCUGACUGCAGCCUCCAUCUCCCAGAUUCAAGUGACUUUCCCACCUCAGACUCCCAAGUAGCUGGGAUUACAGUGUCUUCUCAGAGAGGCCUGGAGUGGAGCAUCUGAAGCCAGGCUGGAUGUCUUGCUGCGUGUUACGGUUUGGGAGACAAAUUCUGUGCCCACCCUGUUCACGUGCACCCCGAGGAAGCUCUGACACCACCGUGCAGCCUCUGAUGCACACAGAGAAAGCCGGCGCUAGGAUGUGCCCGUCAGCAGGAAAAGCAUGGCUGGAAAGGAAGGAGGUGGCAGCCACCCUGGGUGCUGAACUCUUCGUGCCAGGGCUGGAGGGGCUGCGUUCCCUUGGCCUGCUGCAGCAGCAGGGCCGGCUCUGGACCAACUCCCUGAGGAUCCAGUACAGCCUCCGGGCUCAGGCAAAGCAGCCAGCGCACCAGUGCAGCACCAGCCAGAGGCUGCAGACAGAGUGGCUCAGAUGGUGACUACAGGCUGGAGUUGGGCCACGAGCUCCACUGCACACAGAUCCCAGCCUUCAGCCACAAGGUGGGUGCCCAGGCCAGAGAGAGCACCAGAGUCGGGAAAGUGGUGAUCUGAGUACCCUGAGCUCAUCCCCAAAGAGAUGAACUUGGUCCCAAUAGCCUCAGUCUUAUGUCUAUUCAUCCAAGGUUGCUUGAGGCCAGGAGGCAGAGGUUGUUGCAAUGAGCCAAGAUGGUGCCACUGUACUCCAGCCUGGGCAACAGAGUGACAUCUUAUCUCUAAAAUAAACAAUAAAUUAAAAAACAAAAAACACAAGGCCAGGUGCAGUGGUUCAUGCUUGUAACUCCAGCACUUUGGGAGGCUGAGGCAAGCAGAUCAUGAGGUAAGGAGUUCAAGACCAGCCUGGCCAGGGUGGUAAAACCCCAUCUCUACUAACAAUACAAAAAUUAGCCAGGCAUAGUGGCAGGUGCCUGUAAUACCAGUUUCUCUGGAGGCUGAGGCAGGAGAAUCGCUUGAACUGGAGGCGAGCUAUGGGAAGCCCUGGGAUGAGAGCAGCAACAAGAGGCAUCUCCAUGUCAGCCAGACCUUCAAGAACGACUCAGGGCCCACCCUGAGCAAUCACUUCCUGGAGUCCUGCAAAUGGUGUUGGUUUAUUUUUUUGAGAUGGAGUCUCGCUCUGUCACCAGGCUGGAGCACAGUGGCACGAUCUCGGCUCACUGCAACGUCUGCCUCCGGUAUUCAAGCAAUUCUCCUGCCUCAGCCUCCCAAGUAGCUGGGACUACAGGCCGUGCAGAAGCCAACCACAGGCUGCGUGUGGCCCACUGCUCAUCAUUUACUACCACUGAGCCACACAUUAGGUGGCAAAUGCUAGAGAAAGAACAUUGGUGAGAUGCUGCAGAAUAGGACUAAACCUGGAUCAUGAAGAAAAGGCUCCAUGUAAUACAAGUUCCUGCUGCCUUUUGGUCAGAAUUUAGGCUGAGGAAGGGAAGAGCUCCCAGGCUGGGGCUUUGGCUUGGUUGAAGAAUCACCUGCCUGGUAAUUCACCUACCUGGUGAGUAUGAUCCGAUGGGGGUGCCAAAAAAUGGAUUCAACUGGCAACGAGGUGUUGAAGCAGGUUCCUGCCAGCUGCAGGGUUUCUGGGCUCCCUAGAAGGUAAGUGAGGCUACCAGCCCCUCCCCCUCACCGGCCCAUUUACAGGAUAUGCAGUGUUCCUCUUCCCACUCCACCCCCAUGUGAGCUGAGAUCUCCCUCAUCAUUCAGAUCUCACAGGCUUGACCCUACUCUGCAUAUUGAGAAAGUUCCAGUCCUCUCAACUGUAGAAAUUUCCUAGCCUGUCGGUCAGGCACACGGGCUCAUGCCUGUAAUCUCAGCACUUUGGGCAGAUCGCUUGAGGUUGGGAGUUUGAGACCAGCCUGGCCAACAUGGUGAAACCCUGACUCUACUAAAAAUUCAAAAAUUAGCCGGGCAUGGCAGCGAGUGCCUGUAGUUUCAGCUACUCUGGAAGCUGAGACAGCAGACUCACUUAAACCCAGGAGGCAGAGGUCACAGUGUCAAGAUAGUACCAUUAUACUCAAGCCUGGGAGAUAGAAUGAGAUUCUGUCUCAAAAAACACAGCAAUUCCCUACACCUUCCAGCUCCUGUCCUUGGCAUCCCCACACACAGGCCCCAUGCUGCCCAAGACCCAGGGGGCAGAUCAGACAUCACAUCAGACAUCUGUGUCCUCAAAAUAGGGCAGCUUGUUUCUGCCCAGGCCUCGCCCCCCACCUCCACUGUCAUGUGGGCCUCUGUGCUCCUCCAUUAUUAUGGGAUUUCCUAAAACAAGGACAGCCGCCCCCCCCCCCCCCCAAGAGGCACCUUAAUGCUCUCCAUGGCAGAGCUCUUCCUGUGGACCUGUGAGCUCCCGCUCUGCAGCCAAAGGAAGCAAGCCUCAGCCAGGCAUGGUGACUUGUCCUGUGCGUUCCCUCUAGGAACUACUCAGUGGUGGUGACAUUGCCACUGCUGCCUCAGGGGGAUGAGCCCCUGCACAUGGCCUGGGUGACCAGCUACCUGGUGGAGGAGAAGCUGCUGCGGCUGCUCUGAGUUUUCCAGGGCCAACUUGCUGGCCGAGUUCUACUGGCUCAGAUGCCACCUGCUGCAGGGUCUCUGGGAGUGUGGGUCCUGCCCCAGGCUGUGCUGCCCUCCUCCCUAGAAGCCCCCUGCCCUGUGGGCACAGCAGCGGGGGCACAGGGAAGCCUGCAGAGGCUCAUGGCAUCACAGUGCCAGGCCCAGAGCUUACUGGACUUCCCAAGGUCCUAUGGGACUAGGGCUGAGGCUGCACAUCCUGUUUUUCUCCAGAAUAUAAAGCCUGGCCCAGCAGUGCAGCCAAGGGCAGUACUGGGAUGACUGGCUCUGGGCACCUGGGGAGCUUGUGUGUGGCUCAGGUGAGUCUCCUAACCUCUGUGGACUCAGCUUCCUCCACUGUGAAAGGCAGGUAACCACGUGGCUCACUCGUAUGGGUAAGGGGCAUGUAUUGUUCUUAAUGCACGAGAGAGUGCAUUAAGCGCCACCAUGUGGGUGGGUGGAGCUGGCUCCAUUCACCCUGCCUUUGGGGCUGCUUCUCCCCAGACCAUGCCCUGGUGACCGGGUCCCAGCACAUGGCGACUUUCAACGGCUGGGGGUGGGACCUCAGCGCCUAGUGCGGCAGCAUCCUGCUGUCCUGAGACUGCUCACAACACAUUCUCCCUGAUGCUGAGUCUGACAGGUUUGGGGCUCACAGUCCUGACUGUGGAGCUCAUCCACGUGACCCUCAUCUUCUACUCCAGCCUGCAGGUGACCAGGAGAGGCUUCCCCUGGAGACCUGUGCCUGUGACAGGCUGCCUGGGGUGAUGGCUUUUUCUUUCAAGCUUUUCCCCUGGCUGUGGGUCAGCCCUCCUGCCCACCUGCUCUGGCCUACAGGCUGUACAACUCCCUGCCAGGGAAGAGCUGUCCAGACCUCCAGCUGCCUCCUGCCAUGACAAGGAGGGACGUCCCCAGGAUUGAGCUGGCCAGUAAGAAUGGGGUCUCCAUCUCCUGUGAUGUGCCCACCAGUCUCUGUUGCCUGACUCUGGGCCACUGGCACCAUGGCAUAUCUGCUGGCCUUCUGGGCACCAAUGACAAUGAAGCAGGCAAUAAGCUGAUGUUGCCGGAUGGCUCUGUGGCCUGCAGCCUGGAGGAGCUCAGCCUGACCUGGCAGGUGGAUGGGUGACUGCAGGGCCACCGAGAAGACUCAGCAGGCCUGCACAGGACAGAGCCCUGCCUACCUGACCUUCUUCCAGGACCCCCGCUCCAGCUUGGGGAAUUUCUGGGUGGGGCAGAAUAUCUGCAAGGGAGACCACAUUUUUGAUUUCUGAAAGACUCAAUUAGGAGGAUGGAAAGAUAAACUACAGAUUGGGAAAAACGUUUACAAACCACCUAUCAGACCAAGGACUCAAAGCUCAAAAGUAGGCCAGGUGCAGUGACUCACGCCUGUAUUCCUAGCACUUUGGGAGGCUGAGGUGAGAUGGCUUGAACCUGGGAGGUCAAGGCUGCAGUGAGCCAUGACUACACUCCUGGCUGCAUGACAGGGUGGGACCUCAUCCCACAAAACAAAACCUUCAAAGUUAAAAAUGGGAAAUAAAUGCAUGACCAAUGUUUGCACUCCCAGCCACAGAGAAACAAGGUAGUGUUACACACCUGAGC